GACGAACGCUGGCGGCGUGCCUAAUACAUGCAAGUCGAACGCAGUGGGGACGGGUGAGUAACACGUGGGUAACCUCCCAUCAGAGGGGAUAACACUUGGAAACAGGUGCUAAACCGAUACUGAUGGAUGAACCCGCGGUGCGUUAGCUAGUUGGUGGGGUCACGGCUCACCAAGGCCACGAUGCAUAGCGGACCUGAGAGGGUGAUCGGCCACACUGGAACGGAGACGAGGCCCAGACACCUACGGGAGGCAGCAGUAGGGAAUCGUCGACAGUGGACGAAAGUCUGACCGAGCAACGCCGCGUGAGGGAAGAAGGUUUUCGGAUCGUAAAACUCUGUUGUUAGAGAAGCGGUAUCUAACCAGAAAGCCACGGCUAACUACGUGCCAGCAGCCGCGGUAAUUC
rnacentral:rRNA from 1 species